rnacentral:rRNA from 1 species
GGAAUAUUGCACAAUGGGCGCAAGCCUGAUGCAGCCAUGCCGCGUGUAUGAAGAAGGCCUUCGGGUUGUAAAGUACUUUCAGCGGGGAGGAAGGCGAUGGGGUUAAUAACCUUAUCGAUUGACGUUACCCGCAGAAGAAGCACCGGCUAACUCCGUGCCAGCAGCCGCGGUAAUACGGAGGGUGCAAGCGUUAAUCGGAAUUACUGGGCGUAAAGCGCACGCAGGCGGUCUGUUAAGUCAGAUGUGAAAUCCCCGGGCUUAACCUGGGAACUGCAUUUGAAACUGGCAGGCUUGAGUCUUGUAGAGGGGGGUAGAAUUCCAGGUGUAGCGGUGAAAUGCGUAGAGAUCUGGAGGAAUACCGGUGGCGAAGGCGGCCCCCUGGACAAAGACUGACGCUCAGGUGCGAAAGCGUGGGGAGCAAACAGGAUUAGAUACCCCAG